GAUGAACGCUAGCGGGAGGCCUAACACAUGCAAGCCGAGCGGGAUUUGAGACUAGCUUGCUAGUCUUAAUGAGAGCGGCGUACGGGUGCGGAACACGUGUGCAACCUGCCUUUAUCUGGGAGAUAGCCUUUCGAAAGGAAGAUUAAUAUCCCAUAAUAUAAUGAUUGGCAUCAAUUAUUAUUGAAAGCUCCGGCGGAUAGAGAUGGGCACGCGCAAGAUUAGAUAGUUGGUGAGGUAACGGCUCACCAAGUCGAUGAUCUUUAGGGGGCCUGGGAGGGUGAUACCCCACACUGGUACUGAGACACGGACCAGACUCCUACGGGAGGCAGCAGUGAGGAAUAUUGGACAAUGGGUGAAAGCCUGAUCCAGCCAUCCCGCGUGAAGGAUUAAGGACCUAUGGUUUGUAAACUUCUUUUCUACAGGGAUAAACCUACUCUCGUGAGAGUAGCUGAAGGUACUGUAGGAAUAAGCACCGGCUAACUCCGUGCCAGCCGCCGCAGUAAAAC
rnacentral:rRNA from 1 species